AUGGGGCGGGGAGUGCUCGGGUGGGGUAGGCAUGGCGAGGAGCGGCAUUCUACUCCAGGGGCAUAACUGGCCACAGACCCCAGGGAGAGGCUGGGGCAAGGCAGGUGGAAUGACUGGUCACUAUGAUGUGCACUGGCCACCAGGGAGCAGACGCUCAAUGCAGGAGCUGCCCGCAGGCCCCAGGCCUGCCAAGAAACGAAAAUGAUGGCUUACAUCCUCAUAUCUGAGGACAGAAGUAGAGAGGCAGAACAAGGUCUACAGACCACAGGGCCCAGUGG